GUGGUCACAAAAGGCAAGCGGGAAGUAGCCGAAACAGUAUAGAACACAUCUGCAUUGACCUUUUGAAUUCAAUCAAAGCAUAUUAUUGAUUUAAUAUAUUUGGGCAUUCAUUUCGAAAAAUGCAUAAAUAUUGCAAUAUGUGGUUAAUUUCGAAUUAGGCCUAAGUUUGCUUCGGCUCAAAAAAGUAUGAAACUCGAUGAAUCCAGUAUUAAAAACUCAUGGGAAAAAUGUUGAUAUUUUCCUAAAUUUUUC